CAGCAGUGGGGAAUAUUGCACAAUGGGCGCAAGCCUGAUGCAGCGACGCCGCGUGGGGGAUGACGGCCUUCGGGUUGUAAACUCCUUUCGCUAGGGACGAAGCUUUUUGUGACGGUACCUAGAUAAGAAGCACCGGCUAACUACGUGCCAGCAGCCGCGGUAAUACGUAGGGUGCGAGCGUUGUCCGGAAUUACUGGGCGUAAAGGGCUCGUAGGUGGUUUGUCGCGUCGUCUGUGAAAUUCCGGGGCUUAACUCCGGGCGUGCAGGCGAUACGGGCAUAACUUGAGUACUGUAGGGGUAACUGGAAUUCCUGGUGUAGCGGUGAAAUGCGCAGAUAUCAGGAGGAACACCGAUGGCGAAGGCAGGUUACUGGGCAGUUACUGACGCUGAGGAGCGAAAGCAUGGGUAGCGAACAGGAUUAGAUACCCUGGUAGUCCAUGCCGUAAACGGUGGGCGCUAGGUGUGAGGGUCUUUUCACGACUUUCGUGCCGUAGCUAACGCAUUAAGCGCCCCGCCUGGGGAGUACGGCCGCAAGGCUAAAACUCAAAGGAAUUGACGGGGGCCCGCACAAGCGGCGGAGCAUGUGGAUUAAUUCGAUGCAACGCGAAGAACCUUACCUGGGCUUGACAUACACCGGAUCGGGCUAGAGAUAGUCUUUCCCUUUGUGGCUGGUGUACAGGUGGUGCAUGGUUGUCGUCAGCUCGUGUCGUGAGAUGUUGGGUUAA
rnacentral:rRNA from 1 species